rnacentral:rRNA from 1 species
AGUAUAGGAGGUCCAGCCUGCCCAGUGACUACGGGUUCAACGGCCGCGGUAUUUUGACCGUGCAAAGGUAGCGCAAUCACUUGUCUCUUAAAUAGAGACCUGUAUGAAUGGCUAGACGAGGGCUUAACUGUCUCCCCCUUCCAGUCAGUGAAAUUGAUCUAUCCGUGCAGAAGCGGGUGUAAUUAUACAAGACGAGAAGACCCUUUGGAGCUUAAGGUACAAAGUUCAACCACGUUAAAUGACUCUACAAAAAGCAAGAACCUAGUGGCCAAUGAAAUUUUACCUUCGGUUGGGGCGACCACGGAGGAAAGAUAAGCCUCCGAGUGGACUGGGCUAAAUCCCCAAAGCCAAGAGAUACAUCUAUAAGCCGCAGAACAUCUGACCAAGAAUGAUCCGACUGAAAAGCCGAUCAACGAACCAAGUUACCCUAGGGAUAACAGCGCAAUCCUCUCCCAGAGUCCAUAUCGACGAGGGGGUUUACGACCUCGAUGUUGGAUCAGGACAUCCUAAUGGUGCAGCCGCUAUUAAGGGUUCGUUUG